rnacentral:rRNA from 1 species
CCUACGGAGGCAGCAGUGGGGAAUAUUGGACAAUGGGCGAAAGCCUGAUCCAGCCAUGCCGCGUGUGUGAAGAAGGCCUUCGGGUUGUAAAGCACUUUCAGUGGGGAAGAAAGCCUUGGGGCUAAUACCCUCGAGGAAGGACAUCACCCACAGAAGAAGCACCGGCUAACUCCGUGCCAGCAGCCGCGGUAAUACGGAGGGUGCGAGCGUUAAUCGGAAUUACUGGGCGUAAAGCGCGCGUAGGCGGUCUGAUAAGCCGGUUGUGAAAGCCCCGGGCUCAACCUGGGAACGGCAUCCGGAACUGUCAGGCUAGAGUGCAGGAGAGGAAGGUAGAAUUCCCGGUGUAGCGGUGAAAUGCGUAGAGAUCGGGAGGAAUACCAGUGGCGAAGGCGGCCUUCUGGACUGACACUGACGCUGAGGUGCGAAAGCGUGGGUAGCAAACAGGAUUAGAUACCCCUGUAGUC